CCUACGGGAGGCAGCAGUGGGGAAUAUUGGGCAAUGGGCGCAAGCCUGACCCAGCAACGCCGCGUGAAGGAAGAAGGCUUUCGGGUUGUAAACUUCUUUUUACAGGGGAGAGCAGAAGACGGUACCUGUCUAAUAAGCCACAGCUGACUACGGGCCAGCCGCCACGGUAAUACGUAGGUGGCCAGCGUUGUCCGGGUUUCAUUGGUGUAAAGGGCUUGUAGCCGGGCUGAUAAGUCAGAUGUGAAGUCCGGGGGCUCAAACCCCGAACUGCAGUUGAAACUGUUGUUCUUGAGUAUCGGAGAGGCAGGCGGAAUUCCUAGUGUAGCGGUGAAAUGCGUAGAUAUUAGGAAGAACACCAGUGGCGAAGGCAGCAUGCUGGACGACAACUGACGGUGAGGCGCGAAAGCGUGGGGAGCAAACAGGAUUAGAUACCCGAGUAGUC
rnacentral:rRNA from 1 species